AAAAAAAAAUCGAGGUCCCCUUUCGGGGACCUCUUUCAUGGGAGAGGAGAAACCGGACGAAGAGCUUAUGGGGAACGUAAGUCUUCUCCGCGG
rfam:Paenibacillus sp. 1DrF-4 scaffold7, whole genome shotgun sequence.